AGUGAACGCUGGCGGUAGGCCUAACACAUGCAAGUCGAACGGCAGCACAGUAAGAGCUUGCUCUUACGGGUGGCGAGUGGCGGACGGGUGAGGAAUACAUCGGAAUCUACUUUUUCGUGGGGGAUAACGUAGGGAAACUUACGCUAAUACCGCAUACGACCUACGGGUGAAAGCAGGGGAUCUUCGGACCUUGCGCGAUUGAAUGAGCCGAUGUCGGAUUAGCUAGUUGGCGGGGUAAAGGCCCACCAAGUCGACGAUCCGUAGCUGGUCUGAGAGGAUGAUCGGCCACACUGGAGCUGAGCCACGGUCCAGACUCCUACGGGAGGCAGCAGUCGGGAAUAUUGGACAAUGGGCGCAAGCCUUAUCCAGCCGUACCGCGCGGGUGAAGGAGGCCUUCGGGUUGUAAAGCCCUUUUGUUGGGAAAGAACAGCAGCCGGUUAAUACCCCGCUGUUCUGACGGUACCCAAAGAAUAAGCACCGGCUAACUUCGUG
rnacentral:rRNA from 1 species